rnacentral:rRNA from 1 species
UACGUAUGGUGCAAGCGUUGUUCGGAAUCACUGGGCAUAAAGAGUUCGUAGGCGGCUCUGCAAGUCAGGUGUGAAAGCCCUCGGCUCAACCGAGGAACUGCACCUGAAACUGCAGAUCUAGAGUGCGGGAGGGGAGAACGGAAUUCCAGGUGGAGCGGUGAAAUGCGUAGAUAUCUGGAGGAACGCCGGAGGCGAAAGCGGUUCUCUGGCCCGCAACUGACGCUGAGGAACGAAAGCUAGGGGAGCAAACAGG